CUUCCUCCCUCCUUCCUGCCCCUCAGGGCUCUGGCUGCUCUCUGCUCAGUCUCUGAAGGCCAGGAUGAGCUCCCCAUGGCAGCUGCUCUGGCUCCUGGUGCUCUGGGCUCAGGAUUCCCGAGGAACCAUUGUGCUGACCCAGUCUCCAGCCUCCUUGUCCGGAUCUCCAGGGGAGACAGUCACCAUCAGCUGCAAGGCCAGUCAGAGUGUAUCUGAUUCUAGUUACAGCUACUUAAACUGGUACCAGCAGAAACCUGGCCAAGCCCCCAGGCUCCUCAUCUUCUAUGCUAACAACCUGGCAUCUGGGGUUCCUGCCCGGUUCAGUGGCCGUGGGUCUGGAACAGAUUUCACCCUCACCAUCAGCAGCCUGGAGCCUGAGGACGCUGCACAUUAUUACUGUCAGCAGAAUUAUGACUGGCCUCCCACAGUGCUUCAGGCCUGAACAAAAACCUCUCCCGUGUGUCCAGGGGACUCAGCUCAGAGCAGCAGGUCAUGGGAUGAUCCAGUCUCCCUGUCUGUGACCCAGGACAAAGCGUCCCCACCAGUGUCAGAGCCAGGUCCGAUAUUGGCAAGUGGAGAACUUGGUACCAGCAGGAAGCAGGACAGUCACCCAGACUCCUGGUAAAUAAAACAGGCUUAUGUUUGAUUAAUGAA